rnacentral:rRNA from 1 species
UACGUAGGUGGCAAGCGUUGUCCGGAAUUAUUGGGCGUAAAGCGCGUGUAGGUGGGUCGUUAAGUGUCCGCGUGAAAUCCCACGGCUCAACCGUGGAACUGCCGGGCAUACUGGCGAUCGUUGAGGCAUUCAGGGGCGAGCGGAACAGAUGGUGGAGCGGUGAAAUGCGUAGAUAUCAUCUGGAACGCCAAUGGUGAAGACAGCUCGCUGGGGGUGUACUGAC